AUUGAACGCUGGCGGCAUGCCUAACACAUGCAAGUCGAACGAGUGGCGGACGGGUGAGUAAUGUCUGGGAAACUGCCCGAUGGAGGGGGAUAACUACUGGAAACGGUAGCUAAUACCGCAUACUCUCGGAUGAGCCCAGAUGGGCUUAGCUAGUAGGUGGGGUAACGGCUCACAUAGGCGACGAUCGCUAGCUGGUCUGAGAGGAUGACCGGCCACACUGGAACGGAGACACGUCCAGGACUCAUACGGGAGGCAGCAGUGGGGAAUAUUGCACAAUGGGCGCAAGCCUGAUGCAGCCAUGCGGCGUGUAUGAAGAAGGCCUUCGGGUUGUAAAGUACUUUAAGCGGGGAGGCGUUACCCGCAGAAGAAGCACCGGCUAACUCCGUGCCAGCAGCCGCGGUAAUUC
rnacentral:rRNA from 1 species